rnacentral:tRNA from 1 species
AGAGGCUUAGGCUAGCACCCGAGACCAAGGGCCUUCAAAGCCCUGAGCGGGAGUGAAAAUCUCCCAGCCCCUG